UACGUAGGGUGCAAGCGUUGUCCGGAAUUAUUGGGCGUAAAGAGCUCGUAGGUGGCCUGUCGCGUCGGCUGUGAAAACUCGGGGCUCAACUCCGAGCUUGCAGUCGAUACGGGCAGGCUAGAGUGCGGUAGGGGAGAUUGGAAUUCCUGGUGUAGCGGUGGAAUGCGCAGAUAUCAGGAGGAACACCGAUGGCGAAGGCAGAUCUCUGGGCCGUAACUGACGCUGAGGAGCGAAAGCAUGGGGAGCGAACAGG
rnacentral:rRNA from 1 species